AAGGACCUACCCUCUCUCUUUCAAAGACAAAAACAGGGAUAUUGGGAGAAUGAAUCUGAAAAUGGCUUCACUUUUUCUAUCGAAAAAGAUCUCUUCUUCUGUUAAUUUUUCAGUGUUCGAUGUAAUUCAAACCAGUGGAUGUAAAGUGACGAAUUCAUUCAACAAUCUGGGGAAUGGCACUCAGAAUUUUGCUAACGCCAAAAUCAUGCUUACUGGAGGCUGCUGCUGCUGUUGUACCUCGUUUUACUUGCAUGGUACUGUUUCUCCCAAUCGGACGUCGACAAAAUCCCCUCCACUUCUAAAUCACCAUUCGCCAACAACACUUUUAGUUUCUCCAUAACCACUUUCCGUUGUAGACGACAAAGACAUUCCUGCAACGGAAUCUUCUUCCUCCACCGGAUCCAAAUUCGGUGACAUCUUUCACCAGGUCUCAAGUAUGUAUGAGGAACAGAAUCUUCAUAUGUUCUCACGAGCUGGUGCUGCAAUUCACUUAUGCUGAAGCUAUACGCUGGAUACAAAGAAAUUAAGGAUAAAAGUUAGAAACAAACCAAGUUCUCUUGGGUUUUAAUAGAUGAGGUUCUUUAGGAUUUGGGCCUUAAGUUCCAGGUUUUCGAAAGGUUCAAAAGAAGACAGUCCCCACAUGAAGACUAUAGGGUGGGGGGAUUUCUAAUUUUGAAUUGGAUUGCUCUCUCCUCAGACUCUCUGGAGCUGUUAUGUGCCAAUUAAAGUUUGAUCCUCAAGUAAAUUCAGUUUUUAAUGCUAAUGCUCAAUAUAUACAUUAAGUACUUUACCUGAAGCGAAAGUAUUGGACAAGGUGCCAUAGCAAAGUCAUUCAACAAUGAAAUGGACGGCACGCAAGACUUCUUCAAUGCAACAAUAAAAAUUGGAGGGUAUAGCUGUAGCUCAACAAGCGGAGUGAAAGUGGGUGUGAUAGCAAGCUCAUUCAACAACAAGGCUGACGGCAUCCAGAACUUCAGCAAUGCCACAAUCAUAGUCAUUACCGGCUGUUGUCGUGGUUCACUUGGUUUACAUGGUAUCGUAUUUUCCUGCUUCUUCUUAGAGCCCUUGUUGCACUGCUGCUGAUCCCAACCAGAGAUCAACAUCCACCAACAAUAUUGGAUUUCAUUCGAUCCAAUGCCGAGGUCAAUUAUCCUUCAAAGGGAACCUCCACUCGCCAAUACCACUCAUUCGUGAUUCUCCAUAAUCGCGUCUGCUACCAUUUCUUUGUCUUCUGCAAUGGCCACCCCACAAGAUCCGAUUUUCGCGAGAUCUUCGAAGCCAAAGCAUUGUAAACUCAUUCAACAAUGAAGGCAAUGGGGUACAGGACUUCAGCAAUUCAAUAAUCACAGUUGGAAGCUGUAGCUGUUCCUCGACUUCUGUGAGACUGAAGACUCAUCAAACCGGUUUGAUGAAACAAAAUAUUGAAACUUGAUAGAGGCCACAAUGUUUUCAAACAAGUUCUUGACUGAAGAACCCUUUGGAAAAAUGAAUAAAUAGCCAUUAGCCAAUAUGGUUAAUCUAAAUGUCUUGUAAAAGAAAGCUCGAUUGUUGGAAAGCUUUCAUGUUGAUUGCUGAUUGUCGAUUGCGUUUACGCACUCUAGAUGAACUUGAUAAUUGAGUGGUUCCUCAAAAGCAGGACCAAUUUGUAAUUUGAUCAUGUAAAUGCACAACCUUCUUUCACAUCAAGAUAGGAGGACUCAGCUGUUGAUUCCACUACUUAUUUGGUCUCAGCUUCGGCACUUCUAGUUCCAUUAAUAAAGGGUCUGGGUGGUUCUGCCACAA